rnacentral:sRNA from 1 species
UUUUGAAAUAUACUUGUAACAGUGACAUAUCACAGAAGUCCACAGACAUAUCACAAUUAUUCGGACACAUUUUCGGAAAAUGCAAAAAAUCCAACGUUUUGAUGUUCGUUUUGCUCCUGGAUUUGGUUUAGCGUGGACAAAAUGGGUCGGGGCCAAGAUUUGUCAGUAGAUUUGACGACGAAUUUCAUCAAAAACACUUUGCCAAUCCAUUAAGAAAGCAACCAAAAACAACGGGGAACGUUGUGAGUUGCUGCUGCCACCGCAACUCCACAGUUAUACCCGAUACAUAGUCAGUAUGCCUCUCCCCCGGCAGACGGUACAUUGAGCGAAAAAAGUAUGUGCGAAAGAGACAGAAAAUCAGUUCAAACGUGUCGUCGGGUGCUUCGUAGCGACCGAAAAUUGAUUUGUUACUUUUGGCUAUAAUAAUAAUCCGAUCUGAUCAAAAUUAGGCAAUUUGUUACAUUUGGUAA